GCGGUUAAAGCCCUGGUCAGUAUGCCGCAGUGGAGUUUCGGAAAAUGUAGGAGAUUUUUCGAAAUCACUGGGCACGGUUGUUCUAGAACCGCCUAUGUUUGGUGACACGUUUGUAGAUUUCUCCAAUAAUUGCGAUGCUAUCGUAUUUUUUCUCUUAUCCAACUUGUCGAAAUUGGCAGGGCGGGCUCAGGACCAACGAAGUCAAUCACUGCACCUGCCUUGGCCCAUUCGUCAGCCCAUUCAUUUUAAGUAAUACCGGAAUGUCCGGGCACCCAGACAAAGUAGAUCGUUUUGACAAUGCUUAGUUCUUCGAUUUAGGUUCGGCAUGCGAUCACUAGCUUGGACCCUCCGUGAAAAAUUUAGUUGUCAUCGUCUUUCAAUUGUAAAUUUUCGAUAUUUUGGAUCAUUUGUGGUUGUCCCGAUUAAAUAAUAGAACCUGCAAUUCCAAAUCCGGUUUCAUCGUAGUACGAUUCGCUUCAUAGCACGAAGUCAAGCGAAAGGUGCGUUCCGGUCAUCAAAUUGAGUUGCAGAGAGAGAAAGUGACGUGCAGCCCAUUACACUUCCGGAAGCGACGUAGGACGUGUUUUUGUCAGUACAUAGGAUAUAGAAAGGAUCUUCACAUACUGGGUACCGGUGAGACCGUUUCAUGAACCAUUUCCAAGUAUUUUAAAUAUCAUUGCAAUAUUGCCUGUAUUAAGCAAUAACAUUUUUCAGAGAUUCGUAUGAUAUGAAUUUAUAUAAUCUCCAGCUCACAUUUUUUCGCCUUUUGAUAUGUCCGUCACCUAUGAAAACUGUUUCGGUUCCGAGCGUUUACCUUAAGUAGAUGAUAGGACUAUUAUGAAAUAGAAACGCUUGUAAGGAUGUGGCCAGGUGUGUGGAGAUGAGGGGGUCUACGUCAUUGUAGAUCGUAGCCAAGUUUGAUAUGGCAAUGGAUAUGCUCAAUUCUGCAACUCCAUCUAUGAUUUGUGCAGGUGUUCGUGCUAUGCUAUGCAUGCGAUCACUAGCUUGGACCGUGAUUCGUCUGAGCUAAAAGCUUUGAUUGCAGCCUGACUAUCGGAUCAGAAGUUUAUAACUUUAUCGGACCUCAGUAUCUACCUAGCGAGUGAAAUUGUUCCAAUCUCAUUUCACGACAGUAGACACCAGCACCAGCACGUCCCUCCAUAGGAGAACCGUCAGUGUAAAAGACCACUUGCGUUUGUUGCUAUCUCUCCAUAUAGCCAGACAACCACUCCUCUCGAGAGGAGAUGGUUUAGCUUUGGCUGGACUAUCAUCGCCUCUCCCCUCUGCCACCACACAAGGCAUCCGUAUGACAGUAUUGGGCAUACAAUUGUCGUGUAAAUCCAAUAGAUGUAUUUAGGUUUGUGACUCCAGGUCUUUCUAAAAGGUCGUCUGCACUGCCCGAAGGUCAUGCACACUUUCUGGACUCUGAACUCAAUGUGAGCAGACCAAUUAAGUUUGGAAUCCAAUAUAACUCCAACGUAUAUGACUUGAUCUGCACACUAGCUCAGAAUCAAAGAACUGCAAGGAAAGAACCCCGGUUGUUAUUCGCUUCUUCGUGAAAAGAACCAAUGAAGUUUUGUUUGGAUUUAUUGAUAAUUUAAUUUGUCGACACCACUGUUCGACAGCUCUUAAUGCUUGUUGCAUUAUGUCAAAGAUUGUUACGAUGCAAAGUUUAGUAAUUAGUAUUUGGUAAUCAUCAGCAAUCUCGUAGGUUGGAAAUCCAACCUCAUUGAGUUUCUUCAACAAGCCGUCGGCAACCAGGUUCCAUAGCACAGGUGACAGAACGCCACCCUGAGGACAGCCGCAAAUACUCAAUUUCCUUAUCUCUGCCUGUCUCAGUAGCGCGAGCUUAUCAUUUACUAGUAAACAAGGACAACAAAAAGAUAAAUAAGGCAUAUGAAUUAACGCUAACAUGAAAAAACACCGCGAAAGUUAGAGGAAUUCAAAGUACGGUCACUGAAGAGGAACUCCGACCGCCACUCACCCCAGUUGGUCUGGGUUCAAUCCCAGCCGAGGUCGUUAAGAUUUUUCUGAAGUGAAAAAAAUCUGUGGUCACGCCUUCCUUCGGAAGGGAAGUAAAGCCGUUGGUUUCCGGUCCUUUAGUUAAUGGAUCCAUAUCUAGUCCAGAUAGUGGGAGUCACCUCUCUUGGCGUCGGUGUUCGGGCUUGUAGCGGCAAUAGGCCGACGGAAAAUAACUAGAACUAGAAGAAGAAGAGGAACUCCGAGGCUAGAUAGAGAACCUGCGAACGACCACCUCCGCCUCGAUUCUGAAAAUGGUCUGUCACACGCGGCACAAACCCUGCAACAUAAACGCCCUCAGAGUAGUACUAGCAUACUGCCUAUCCUGGACAGUUCCAAGGAACAAUCGGGUCAUCAGCUCCCAAGAUACUUUGAAAGCAACAUCGAUCUCAUUUCAGUAAACGGGCUAGAAAUCAUCAGCCGAACAAUACACAGUAAUUUAAAAUAAAACAACCGAUGAGGCCUGCCUACAAAGUGAAUGUUGUUUGUGCAGUUCGAAGAUGUUUACAGUCACAUUGAAUUUAGUAAAAAAAUUUGCGAAGUGAAAGUUAUAUCGGUUAGGUUUGAGGUAAUUUUAUUCACAGUACAAACUAGUAUUCAAAUUGCAAUCAUAAUUUAUUAUCAGACAUGCACGUCUCUUACGUAUGUUUAUCCGGUGCGAGGAUGUGUCGUCUUGAACACGCGUAUCGUAUGGUAAAAUGUAUGUAACCUAAGAAUACUACUAUUAUGAUCUGCGUCGGAAUCUAUCAUCGUCGUCAGCUCAUGCACAAGUAAUUUUGGCAAGAUGUACAACGUAAGCAACGUAAUGAGUCUUAGACAUACUAUUUCGAGACACUUUGUUGUGAAUAUUGUUUUUGAAACUUAUUGUUCUCGUUAUAUAGAAGUUUCCGAACAAUCAGGAUUCUAAUUAAAUUAUUUAUCUUUUUGUUUUGCUGGUCAGAAUGGCGACGGCUCACUAGAACAAGUGAAACCGCAGUGCGAUGAGCUCGAAUUGGACAAUGAAACCGAAAAUUAGAAUGAACAGAACAAGGUUAUGCCCAAGAUCAAUAUAAUACGGUAUAGAAUCAACUCUAUUCUCGCCCCAUCAAUUGGGCUACAGAUAUUCGACGAUGCGAUCAUUUUACUUGACGCAGGCGUAAGCCAUGCACCGAUCGGUGAUAUGAAACGUUUCGAUUGUAAAUCUUGGUCGUUUAACGUAAAAUGGUAUGGAAUUGAUUCGAUCCCCUUACCAUCUACUAUACUAAAAGUAUGUGCUUGAACCGCUACGAGUUGAAUAAGACCUAUUGCCGAUUCGAAAGAUCAUGUUGAAUCAGGUGCGAUGCUUUGCGCAACAAAACAUUACGCCAAGUUCCGUAAAAUGGAUAAUGCCAAAAAAAACAAAGUUUAUCCCUGCCGUUAUUAGCGAGAUUAACAGAAAAUUUACCAGAAAGCAACAUUCAUCACAGAUCCAGUGUAAAUCGGAUCGAGUGACUAUUAAUACGUCGCAGUAUGGAUCGUAUAGAUUCGUCAAUUAAUGCGAAUCCGCACCCGCAAGGCAAGUAUACAUUGAUUGGCAUCGAUAUUUAUACGAUUGGUCUCAGUUUACACACCGGUGCAGCAGUACUCGCUGUAUAUUAUACCACUGGUGAAACUGAAUUCGCUUGCGCCACCACUGUCGGUUGUUUCCGAAUGCUGAAAAUCCUAUUAUAGGGAGGUAUCGGCUCUAAACGGAAUCACGAGGAGCACAAAUUCGUAUCUGUUAGAAAUCAACUCUAUCCUCGUCUCACCACCUAAGCCAAGUAAUCGACGCAUCAGUCAUUUUACUAGACGCAAAUGUAGAUUGCAAAUCUGUCGAAUCGGUGGAUGCCUUUUCUACGCGGUAUGUUGGUACGGUCUGGGUGCAACAUCAUUGGUAGUCAGUGGGGGUUUAGUGGAUACGUAAGAAAACCCCCAUUUCACAAUCAAUUUGACUCUCGUGUCACAACUGAAACAAAGUUAUUCGACAAUCCGGUUAUUGGACUUGACACCGAAUGUAAGCCAUUCACUGGUCGACGACAGGAAGUCUCCAUUGCAUACUCGACCAAAUAACGUAAAACUGUAUGUAGUGAACUCGAUCCCCGUACCAUCAAACAGACCAAAGGUAUUUGACGAUCCAGUAGUUCGUUACUGUUAUCGUUGCAAAGAAGCGUGUACAUGCAACGCAGGCAAGAGUCGUAUAACAUUUCAAACAGCACGAUGGUGGACGUUGUUGGUAUUAUGCAGCGGACCAAGUUCGACUUCCGUAUAUGUACCAGCAACCAUCUUCCAGUGAAACGAUAAGCACGGUCGGACGAGAUCUAUUGCCGGUUCGGAAGGUCACGCUUAAUCUAAUCCUGUGCUUUCUGCAGCAAAAAUUACAGCAAAGGACAGUUCCGUAAAAUGGAGAAGAAAAAACAAAUCCCUGCAGCAGAAUUGACAAAGUUUACCAGAAAGCAACAAUUACCACAAAAUAUUGAUGCGUCGCAGUAUCAAUUGACCAGAUUCGCCAAUUCAUACGAAUCCGCUUCCGUAUGGCAAAUAUACAAUGACUUACAUCGAUUUUGAAGAUUGGUCUCAAUAUGCACACCGGAGCAGCAGUAUUCGUAGUGUGCCGCUGAUGAACCUGAAUUCGACUGCGUCACUCGGCUUCUUCCGAAUGCUGAUAAACCUACAAUAUGAUAUUAAACAUCAAGACGGAGGUAUCAUCUCUAAACGAAUUCUUCCACUGGAUGGAAGGAAAACGCUGCGAAGACGAAUGGUCAUCGAGACACUAAAAAGGUAUCAGUUGGACCGGUUUUCUCCAAUGGUCAAAUCGUUUGCCAACGGCUUCCAGCUGGCCGAAGGAAAAGUGAUCCACGACUUUCAAAUAUUUUUCGGUCCGACGACUGAUCCAGUUGUUGCUGGACUAGAGAGCAACGCGGUCUAGUUGACCCGAUUGGUGCAACGACCAGUGACACAAUAUCCGCAACCCCAGAAUAUUGCUGCUGAGAUCUAUUUGGCCUGACAAGGAUGAGCGAUCAGCAUACUACAUAAUAACGUCUCGUUUGUUCUCGGGAAGUGUAUCAUUAUUUAAAAAAAAAAAUAAAAACAGAUUGCAUUAUUUAUUUUAUUUUUUUGAUAAAAAAGAAAACAUCUGAAGUAUAAGAAAAUAAGAAGAAGAGUACCAAAAUAGAGAGCACGACGGCGUCCGAUUCUCCAUAGCUUGACAUCGGAGCUACGUAGCUCUUAUACCGCCUGACGAAUUUGACAACUUCGAAGCCCAACAGUCCGAUUUCGAUGGUGCAAAA